rnacentral:lncRNA from 1 species
CCUCAAGGCAGUUAUCAUUUUUCCCACUUUAAAGUUGAGAGAGUUGAGAUUCAGAGAUAAUAAGCAACAUGUCCAAGGUCAUGUUAUAGUACAUGGUGGAGCCAGAACUCAAAUGCACGUUCCCUUCAUUUCAGAGCCUGUGCUCUUUCUGUCACCUUACUGCUUUCACAACUGCACUGUUCUAACUGUGCUUUCUGGGAUGUUUUGCUGAAUCGUUGCCAUAGGGCCCAGAUAGGCAGAAGAGGAAUGUUGUGAAAAGUGCUCCUUUGAGGCAGAUCCUGACCUACUGCAGUGAUCUUUCCCUAGAGAAGACUCACAGAACUGGCAAUCAUUGCACCAGGAGAGAUGAAUUGCUUUGCUCUGAAGUACAGAAAUCUACCCAAUGACACGGCACCCCACACACAACAAGGAGAUGUGUACAAAUAUCUAGUUCAUACAAUUUCAAUCAAGGUAUUUUUCUAACCCAGACUUUAUCAUUUAUCCUGUUUCAAAAUGCUUAUUAAUCUUUUAUUCUUCCUUUGGAAAUACAGAAUCACCUAGCCAACAUGAAAUCAUUGUUCUACCUUUCCUCUUCCUUUAAUAUGAUUAAUAUUUAUUGAGUGUCAACUGUGUCAAGUACUCAAAACGUGUUUCUAACUUUUUUUACUCAUUUAUUUUAUUUGACAGUUUUGUGGGGUAUAUAUUAACACAUUCUCAGGAUAGCAAAUAAAUUUUAUUUU